GCUGCAUAAACCCCGACUCUGCUUGUACAGAACGCAGGAGAAGUGACACAAUUUACCUAGUUAAAAUAAAUUCAUGUUAGCAGCAAUAUUAACUAAAUAUGCAGGUUUAAAAAUAUAUACUUGUGUAUUGUUUUUAAAGAAAGGCAUUGAUGUUUAUGGUUAGGUUCACAUUGGUGUUUAGGGUUAGGUUCACAUUGGUGUUUAAGGGUUGGGUUCACAUUGGUGUUUAGGGUUAGGUUCACAUUGGUGUUUAGGGUUAGGUUCACAUUGGUGUUUAGGGUUAGGUUCACAUUGGUGUUUAGGGUUAGGUUCACAUUGGUGUUUAGGGUUAGGUUCACAUUGGUGUUUAGGGUUAGGUUCACAUUGGUGUUUAGGGUUAGGUUUACAUUGGUGUUUAGGGUUAGGUUCACAUUGGUGUUUAGGGUUAGGUUCACAUUGGUGUUUAGGGUUAGGUUCACAUUGGUGUUUAGGGUUAGGUUCACAUUGGUGUUUAGGGUUAGGUUCACAUUGGUGUUUAGGGUUAGGUUCACAUUGGUGUUUAGGGUUAGGUUCACAUUGGUGUUUAGGGUUAGGUUCACAUUGGUGUUUAGGGUUAGGUUCACAUUGGUGUUUAGGGUUAGGUUCACAUUGGUGUUUAGGGUUAGGUUCACAUUGGUGUUUAGGGUUAGGUUCACAUUGGUGUUUACUUGUAGCCACCUUACCUUGGCUCAUUGUAGCCAGGUAGUCACCUGCCACACAGCCUCCCCGUGGAGUGCAAUGUAAGGCAGGUGGUUAGAGCGUUGGACUAGUAACCGGAAGGUUGUAAAAACGAAUCCACGAGCUGACAAGGUCAAAUCUGUCGUUCUGCCCCUUAACCCACUGUUCCUAGGCCGUCAUUGAAAAUAGAAUGUGUUCUUAACUGACUUGCAUAGUUAAAUAAAGGUGUACAUUUUUUUAAAAAUCGGCCACAAUCGGUGUCCAAAAAUACUGAUUA